UCCAAACUGGCAAGCUGAGUUCGUAGAGGGGGUGAAUUUCCUGUGUAGCGGGAAAUCGUAGAUAUUGGAGGAACACCAGGGGGAAGGCGACCACCGGACUGAACUGACCUGAGGGCGAAAGCGGGGGAGCAAACAGGAUUAGAUACCCUGUAGUCCACGCCGUAAACGAUGUCAGCUAGCCGUUGGAUCCUGAGAUCUUAGUUGCGCAGCUUACGCAUUUAAUUGACCGCCUGGGGAGUACGGCCGCAAGGUUAAAACUCAAAUGAAUUGGAGGGGGCCCGCCCCAGCGGGGGAGCCUGGGGUUUAAUUUGAAGCCACGGGGAGGACCUUUCCAGGCCUUGACCAUCAGAGAACUUUCCAGAGAAGGAUUGGUUCCUUGGGAAAUUUGACGCCGGUGGUGCCAGGGUGUUGUCAACUUGUGUUGUGAGAAGGUGGGGUAAAUCCCGUCACGAGGGCCACCCUUGUCCUUUGUUUCCCGCCCGUAAUGGUGGGCACUCUAAGGAGACUGCCGGUGACAAACCGGAGGAAGGUGGGGAUGACGUCAAGUCAUCAUGGCCCUUACGCCUUGGGCUACACACGUGCUACAAUGGUCGGUACAAAGGGUUGCCAACCCGCGAGGUGGAGCUAAUCUCACAAAACCGAUCGUAGUCCGGAUCGCAGUCUGCAACUCGACUGCGUGAAGUCGGAAUCGCUAGUAAUCGCGAAUCAGAAUGUCGCGGUGAAUACGUUCCCGGCCCUUGUACACACCGCCCGUCACACCAUGGGAGUUGGUUGCACCAGAAGUAGCGUAGUGCUAACCUUCUGGA
rnacentral:rRNA from 1 species